CGACCCCAAGUCAGGCGAGACUACCCGCUGAGUUUAAGCAUAUCAAUAAGCGGAGGAGAAGAAACUUACAAGGAUUUCCUUAGUAACGGCGAGUGAAAUGGGAACAGCCCAGCCUUAGAAUCGAAUGGUUUUGCCGUUUGA
rnacentral:rRNA from 1 species